rnacentral:rRNA from 1 species
GUCGAGAAUCUUUCACAAUGGGGGCAACCCUGAUGGAGCGACGCCGCGUGGAGGAUAAGGUCUUCGGAUUGUAAACUCCUGUCAUGCGUGAACAAGGUUGCUUGGUUAAUACCUGGGUAAAUUGAUGGUAACGCAAGAGGAAGAGACGGCUAACUCUGUGCAAGCAGCCGCGGUAAUACAGAGGUCUCAAGCGUUGUUCGGAAUCACUGGGCGUAAAGGGUGCGUAGGUGGCGUGGUAAGUCAGAUGUGAAAGCACGGGGCUCAACCUCGGAACUGCGUCCGAUACUGCCAUGCUAGAGUGCUGGGGAGGGGACUAGAAUACUCGGUGUAGCAGUGAAAUGCGUAGAUAUCGAGGGGAAUACCAGAGGCGUAGGCAGGUCACUGGACAGUUACUGACACUGAGGCACGAAGGCCAGGGGAGCGAACGGGAUUAGAUACCCCAGUAGUCC